CUGGGAUAUUAUUAAAAAGUUAAUCCUGUUUAACUGGUGUUCUUAAAAAUUUAUCCAUAAUUACACAAAUAAGUUCAACAAACAUUAUAAAAAUGAAGAAGGCAUGUCAUGUCUGAAAGAUGAAACUCAUAAUUGACAAUCGAUAAUUGAGGGUUUCUGGCUUGAGAGAGGGGGCAGACUCUCCAGUCACCAUCGUCCUUGUCAUUGUCCAAAUCAACAUAAUCCCAUCCAAUCCCUUGUUCACACAGAUUCAUCACUUCAACAAAAUUCCACAUCAGGACCGCCACCCCCGACUAGAGAGCUUGCUUGCGUAUGUCAACUGUGCAGCAACAGAACAAAUGUGAAUAGUUGGUUUUAGUACUUAGUAUUAUCCCAACAUGUAAGUUAUCACUAAACCAAUUCUAGGUCAAAACACAUCAGUAUCAUAAUAGCCAUAGUAAUGAAAUGUUUUUUUCCUGUUUUGGACAAGGAGGUUUAGCUUGAACAAUCUGAAUCCAUAGUGUGUUCUAGUAUAGAGUGGUAUCCAAAAACUUGCUAGACAGCUAAUCAUCAAUGAAAAGAGAACAUCAACUGACUCCUUAAUCAGAACUUCUGCGAAUCACCUUUCACUGCAGAGGUAGACAGAGACAAAGAUACAAACUUAUGAGUGGAUGCAAGAACGCCGAUAUUGGUUGACUAACACUCUGCUCUUCUUGUCAGUUAUGCAGCAAAUGUUCCUGCACAGAACUCCCAAAAUGACACAAUCAUCAGUCCAUUGCAUAUAACUUGGAAUUGUAGCCUCACAGAAAUACCAAGGCAUGUUUGGUUAGCAGAGAAGACCCCGUUUUCUUGGACAUCCAGUUCCAUGUUCGCAACUAACAACUUUAGCAAACCCCUCCAAAAGUUAGAGACUUUUAUCAUUUUUCUGAGACUCCAGCAGAAGACAAUGAGACAUUGUUUCCCGUGAUGUAUGAUGAUCUUAUAUACUUAAUAACAUUGUCACUGUUAUACAAUGAGCAGAGGAGCUCUGAUGGUUUGCUGAUGAUAUUAGUCAACAACGCAAUGCAGGUUUAGAUAUAAGUCAUACAAGCAAACAUUUGAUGCAGGGUAAUGUAACCCGAAGCAUUCAACUGAAAAUCUGCAAAGCAUCAUCAAUCCCUCGGCUUUUCGCCUAAAUUCCACCUGGCAUGUGAAACUAUGAGCAAAUGGUUCCUCAACCUCUACAAGGAGGGAGCACCAUGCUCUUGUCAAACUGUUUCACGUACAUUUUCAGAUUACUAAACAUUGCUCGUCACCGGGAUAUUUACAAUACGAGUAAAAAAAAGCAAAAUUGGUUUUUUUAUGAAAAGAUGCCUGCUGAGUGUUUCGACGAAAUGACACAAAGAAACCCACAUAAAAAAGUAACCACUGAGUGAAAAACCCAGAUGGAACUAAAACAAUCCUUGCCGUAAUCAUGGCAAUCAAACGAAUAGUGAAGUAAAUUGUUCAUCAUUUCACUCUCCUAGUCCCAGCGGGAAUUCAUACUUCAACCAAAUGUGGUAUAGCUAGCCCCAAACUUUGAAAGAACAAUGAUUUCAAACAGGAAAGCAGAAAGACAAUGCGGUAAAAUGUUAUUGAACAGAAUGGAUCAGAAACACCUGGAAGUUCUUCACGCGACUCUGUUUAUCACAUCAAAAAAUAAAUAAAUGAAGGGAACCAAGGCGGCGGAAAACGUAGAGGGAGAAUUACGGUCUUCAAAACCCUAAGUAU
rnacentral:lncRNA from 1 species